rnacentral:pre_miRNA from 1 species
GUCCUCAGCAUCUUACUGGGCAGCAUUGGAUGAUCCAUGCCGCUCUAAUACUGCCUGGUAAUGAUGAUGAAGGC